UACGUAGGGUGCGAGCGUUGUCCGGAGUUACUGGGCGUAAAGGGCCCGCAGGCGGGAGGGUGCGUUUGGUGUGACAGCUCGUGGCUUCACUACGAGAGGAUACCAAAGACGGCCGUUCUUGAGGGCCAGAGAGGGACCUGGAAGUCCGGGUGGAGCGGUGAAAUGCGUAGAUAUCAGGAGGAACACCAAUGGCGAAGGCAGCUCGCUGGGACGGUACUGACGCUGAGACGCGAAAGCGUGGGGAGCAAACAGG
rnacentral:rRNA from 1 species